rfam:Daedalea quercina L-15889 unplaced genomic scaffold DAEQTscaffold_46, whole genome shotgun sequence.
GGCCGGCUAGCUCAGCUGGUUAGAGCGUGGUGCUAAUACAGUUUCCCACGGUAACGAUGGGAGAUUAGUAUGGCACGCCAAGGUCGUCGGUUCGAUCCCGGCGCUGGCCA